rnacentral:rRNA from 1 species
UUCGCCCUUUUCCGGUUGAUCCUGCCGGACCUGACUGCUAUCGGAUUGAUACUAAGCCAUGCGAGUCAUUGUAGCAAUACAAGGCAGACGGCUCAGUAACGCGUAGUCAACCUAACCUAUGGACGAGAAUAACCUCGGGAAACUGAGAAUAAUGCUCGAUAGAACACUAUACCUGGAAUGGUUUGUGUUCCAAAUGAUUUAUCGCCGUAGGAUGGGACUGCGGCCUAUCAGUUUGUUGGUGAGGUAAUGGCCCACCAAGACUAUUACAGGUACGGGCUCUGAGAGGAGUAGCCCGGAGAUGGGUACUGAGACACGGACCCAGGCCCUAUGGGGCGCAGCAGGCGAGAAAACUUUGCAAUGUGCGAAAGCACGACAAGGUUAAUCCGAGUGAUUUGUGCUAAACGAAUCUUUUGUUAGUCCCAGAACCACUAACGAAUAAGGGGUGGGCAAGUUCUGGUGUCAGCCGCCGCGUUAAAACCAGCACCUCAAGUGGUCAGGAUGAUUAUUGGGCCUAAAGCAUCCGUAGCCGGCUCUGUAAGUUUUCGGUUAAAUCUGUACGCUUAACGUACAGGCUGCCGGGAAUACUGCAGAGCUAGGGAGUGGGAGAGGUAGACGGUACUCGGUAGGAAG